UCCUAACAUUCUUGAAAAUGCAAGUUGUGUUUGUUUUAGCAAAUAAACUCACUCAAAACCUUAAAAAGACUUUGGUUAUAUUAAUAAAAAUUAUGCAUCUCAAUCCGACUACAGAAAUUUUCAUCAAAGUACUAAUUUUGCCUGGUUUCUAUGAGUGAAAAGUUGAUUAAACAUGUAAAUACAGCUUAAAACUGAAAGCGUGCAGGACUUUUUCACACAGCUGAACCUGAAGGGCACA